GUGCUCACUUCAGCAGCACAGACACUAAAAUUGGAAGGAUACAGAAAAGAUUAGCAUGGCCCCUGCGUCAGGAUGACAUACAAAUUCUUGACGUGUUCCAUAUUAAA
rnacentral:snRNA from 1 species